rnacentral:rRNA from 1 species
AUUGAACGCUGGCGGCAGGCCUAACACAUGCAAGUCGAGCGAGCGGCGGAAGGGUGAGCAAUGUAUGGGGAUCUGCCCGAUAGAUGGGGAUAACUACUGGGAACUGUGGCUAAUUCCGUAUUCUAUCGGAUGAACCCAGAUGGGAUUAGCUAGUGGGUGGGGUAAAGGCUUACCUAGGCGACGAUCUGUACCUGGUCUGAGAGGAUGAUCAGUCACACUGGAACUGAGACACGGCCCAGACUCCUACGGGAGGCAGCAGUGGGGAAUAUUGGACAAUGGGCGAAAGCCUGAUGCAGCCAUGCCGCGUGUAUGAAGAAGGCCUUAGGGUUGUAAAGUACUUUCAGCGGGGAGGCGUUACCCGCAGAAGAAGCACCGGCUAACUCCGUGCCAGCAGCCGCGGUAAUAC